GUGGAGCCAGAACAAGAAGUGAAGCAUGGUGUCUGUGGUAUUAAAGGGACUGAAGUUUGUUCCCAGUGCAAACCGUCAAGGCAGAGAUGACCAGGAGAUCAAUGUGGAAGGGUGCUUCAGUUUGGGCCCUUACAAAAGACUUGGGCAGUUCUCACCCUGCUGAACUUGGAAGAAAAGAGAUGUGGAGCAAAUCUGGCACACUGUGAAACUUCCUUCUCACAGCUGGGACCACAGGAAAACCCCUGGGAAUGGAUAUCUCUCCGGAUGUCAAAAGCAGAUAGAACUGUCAAGUUAUCAUGGUGACAGUAGCUGUCCAAGUAGCUAGGAAAACAACGACCAUGUCCUGCUGUGAUUCUACUUUGUGUGGGGG